AAAAGUCCAUUAGAGAAAAACAAACUUUCAGGUGAUACUGGUUUCUCAUUGACUGAGUUGCAGACGGUCCUGAUUUUUUACAUGAGAUCCAAUAUACAUUUUCCUCUCGUGAUUGAUGGAUGAUUCCUUCCUGUUGAAGAUUCUUCUGCCGGGGUCUGUGCUAGCCUCUUCUGUUGGAGUCUGUAACUGACAUUGAAUGAACUAACUUUUUGAACUGAUUGGGGAGUGACUAAAACCUGCAACAUGGAAAGAAUUGGGAAUUCAUAUGAGAAAAGAUUAUCUGAACUUCAGCAAUGACAAAGGGAACAGAUAUAAGAUAUCAGAACACAUAGUGGCCAACUAAAUGAAAGGGCAGAUGAUGAGACAAAGAAGUUUCAGUUUUUCCUGGGAAAUGGACAGUUCCCUAGAACUUUCCUUCCCCGCUGAUAGAAACAAACGUCCCUUCCCCAAGAUGAUGUGGAUUGAGGAGAGCAGAACUCAAGGCUAGAUUCUGAUUGCUGUUGCUAGGACUUCCAGUAAUAUGUUGGACAACAGUGGUGAGAGUGGACGUCCUUGUCAUGUCCCUGAUCUCAAAGGGAAAAGGAGAAGACAUUUGCAAAUGACACUACAGAUGAAGGGCUGAUAUCCAAGAUCUAUAAAGAACUCUUCAAACUCAACACACACAAAACAGAACCACAUCAAAAAAAUGGGCAGAAGACAUGAACAGACACUUCUCCAAAGAAGACAUACAAAUAGUUAACAGACAUGAAAAAAUGUUCAUCAUCAUUAGCUGUUAGGAAGAUUCAAAUCAAAACCACACUGAGAUGCCACCUUACACCAGUCAGAAUGGCCAAAAUUAACAAGAAAAUAAACAACAUGUGUUCGAGAGGAUGUGGAGAGAGGGGAACCCUCUUACACUGUUGGUAGGAAUGCAAGUUGGUGCAGCCACUUCUUUGGAAAACAGCGUGGAGAUUCCUUACGAAAUUAAAAAUAGAGCUACUGUAUGACCCUGCAAUUGCACUACUGGGUAUUUACCUCAAAGAUACAGAUGUAGUGAAUAAAAGGGCCAUAUGUACCCCAAUGUUCAUAGCAGCAGUGGCCACGGUCGCCAAACUGUGGAAAAAGCCAAGAUGUCCUUCAACAGACGAAUGGAAAAAGAAGAUAUGGUCCAUAUAUACAAUGGAAUAUUAUGCCUCCAUCGGAAAGGAUGAAUACCCAACUUUUGUAUCAACAUGGAUGGGACUGGAGGAGUGAAAUAAGUCAAGCAGAGAGAGUCAAUUAUCAUAUGGUUUCACUUGUGGAGAAUAAGGAAUAACAAGGAGAACAUCAGGAGAAAGAAAGGAAAAGUGAAGUGGGGGAAAUUGCAGGGGGAAACAAAGCAAGAGAGACUGUGGACUAAGAAACAAACUGAGGGGUUUUGGGAGGUGUUGGGAGGGGUGAGCCUGGUGGUAGGUAUUAAGGAGGGCACGUAUUGCUUGAAGCACUGGGUGUGGUGCGUAAUCAAUGAAUUUUGGAAUACUGAAAAAAAUUUAAAUUAAAUUAAAAAAUAAAUAAGUAGCAAAAGAAGAAGACAAAGAGCAAUUACUAAGCCCUGGAGCAGGAAUCAGUGUGGCAUAUGUAAGAAAACAAGCCCCUGUGGCCAAAUUACAGAGUAAGGGGAAAACAGAGAAGAGGUUUUCGGGGAGAUAGGUAAGGGAUACCACCACGUUUGUCAUUCUGUGUUACAGCAGCCCUAGGAAACCAAUCCACCAACUUAAACUACCUCUAGAGGCCUCUUAGCAUCUUUCUAAAAUUUGCUUGUCAUUGUAAUUGCCCCUAUAGAGUUGAACAAGGACACUGGUAUGGACCCACUUGCCUUUGUCUUUGUGUUGAGAUGAACCUUGAACUCUCCACUAAAUUAAAUAUCACUCUCACUGCUGGGUUAAGAAAAUGGCAGUGACUUUUUCACCAGAUAAUGUGACUUGAUUAAAGAGAUUAAAGAGAUUAAAGACCUUGUAAAGUGAAAGGUCAAGUCACAGUCCUGGAAAAGGAUGAGCUAAAGAGGAAUCAUAUUUGCCGUAAGGAAAUAAUAAGAGCAGCAGCUGACGCUAAUGAGAUGUUCUGGACUAACCACACUGAAGUGAUUACUGAUUUGUGGGUGGUUUAACAGGUUUUGUAGGAAUAGGUUAGGCAGUGAGAAUAGAUAUUGUGAGAAUAGCCAGCGCUGGUUAAGAGAAGUAAACAGACCUCAUGAAUGUGCAAAUAUCCCAUUAAGUCUAUAAGUCCUUAACAGCAAUAUCUUUUCUCUGUCCUCAAAGGUAAAAUGCUACUGUGUCAGUGUGAGUAGUAGGAACUUAAGGAAAAUAACUUGAAAUGCAUGAAACUGUAGCCAAGAAGGUUUAAGCAAAUGCAGCCUUGAAAGAAAACAAAAACAAAAACAAAACAAUUUCUUUUAUUUUGUUAUCAAACACAGUGUAUAAUGCCCAAGAAGAGCUAAAAAGUACAUUUUAUUGUUUACAUAGAAAUUAAAGGAACUUUUUGGGAAACAUCAUUAGUAUGUAAGUAUGAGCUUUUGGCAAAAAGAAAAAUAAAUAUAAUUGAAUACCAAGUACUUCUUUGGUAAUAUACAAAUCAACUAUAUAACAAUAUGCACUGAGUCCAAACAUCUGUAAAUUCCAUAUGCAUUCAUUUUCUGCUCUAUGACUAUGAAAUACACUGAGCUAUAAAUACUUAAAAUAAUUAACCAACCGCUAUAAUUAAGAAACACUGAAUAUCAUAAAACCAGAAGUCAUAAGUGUAAUAAAGAAAGCUUGACACCUACCUGUGUUGUAAUGUUUAGUGCAGUAUCGUAAAUCUUUCUCUUCUUUCAGCAGAAACUGGGGCAAAGUGAGUCCUUCAGCCACUUGCACAGGUGCCUCAUCUUGCCAUUCAAAAAUGAGAUCAUUCAUUGUGUACCCAACUAGGCAAAACAUAAUAAAAAUAUUUAUAACGUAAAAAGGCAUUCAAAGAAAUCCUUUUUUUUUUUUUUAAUCUGGUACAUUUCACAUAGGGCAGGGUGACCAGCAUCAUCUUAACUCAAAAGAUUGAGUUAUGCAUUGCACAAUUCCAUCUCACCAAAGUCUACUGAAGUCUAGUCACAUGGAAUACUCAUCAAAUAAUGUAAGAAAAUGUAGUAGGUUAAUAAAAAGCAUAACACGGCAUACAGAAACUUCAAAGGACAGGCAUAUAAAUUCUUUCCUCGGAAUGGGCAGCUCCUGAAUUAGUUCAACAAUUCAUUUUGGUUCCACUCCAUCAGAUAUCCCCUUACCUCCUCUCAAAUCGUUCAGGGCUCUUUCAACAAAAAGUGAAAUUGUCACUGGUCAGGAAAAGACCUAAACUACAAUAUCUGUGGGGGAAAGUACCAAGGCUUUUAUCUUUCUUUCAUCAUUAACUAUUUUAGUUUAUGGCAUCUGCUUCAAUGUUCCAAGUCCUAAAAUUAACAAUGAUAUUUUAAAUAGAAAUGUCAGCUAUUCAGAGGAAAUCAGAGUACAAAGAAAAAUCCAUGUGGAGCCAUUUGUGGAGGAGGAAACUCUUGCACAUACUAUUAGUGAAUUCAGGAUAGAACUAGCUAACACAUUUUGUAAUAAGGAAUCAGUAUCUUUUGGUAAAUGGAAAAUUUAUAUUUAUACAGGAGAGGUACCUAAGAAAAGCAGGAUUUCGUCUUUUUUUUUUUUUUCCUCUGAAUGAGAAGCUAUUGAAAUGUACACCCAAAGGCUGCCAGAGGGGGAGACAAAAGCGAAUGGUACUUGAGGGGGAGAUCAUUGUUACAAUGUACAACUACCCUGGAGGUAGAGAGAGAGGACACAGGACUGGCUUUUGAUUUAAGUCAAAUGGACCGAUUAAGGAAGCAGAAGCUCUAGACUCAUGAAGAAACAAACGAGGGAAAUUGUCCCAAACAUGUUAUCCUGGAGGCAAUUUGGUAUAGUAGGAAAGCCGCUGUUUAGUGUCUAAAACAGCUGGCAUAGAGCAGAUUGGGCUGGACAGAGCUAUGUGUAGGGAAGGCAUGAUAUGUGAAUUUUCAUCCCAAUUUAGACAGACCAAUAGAGAAACUUCAUUUUGUUUUUAUAUUCUAAGGUUUUCUUAGUGUCUUCUGUGAAAUGAAAUGAGCUCUCUGAUAUUCCCUCAAAGACAAGCUCUAGUCUCUAAUGCUAAGUUAUAGGCGGUAUAUUUAGGUCCUUGCACUAAAUAAUCAACCACAGUAAAUGAUUUAGGUAUGGGAAACUCUUAAUCACACUAGGCUAUUUCCUUAUGGUCCCUAAAAUAGUUGUUUGAAACCAGAAAGAAGAUACUGAGUUGGUAGGGGGUCAUUCUUUUGUUCUGAAUCAUUUACAUGGAUGGUCAACAAAAAUAACUAAAUGGUAAUUUUGUCUCAGUCAUCCUUCAAAAGUAACUUAAAAAAAUCAAUACUCUUACACAGUUCAAAGUGUUUUAACAUCUUAAUGCUUUCUGUUGGCAGAUCUUAUACAAGUCUGAGGAUGUGAAGAACAGAUUGACUAAUGAGAUCAAGGUGAUUGUGAGGCGACAUCUCCUUCUCCGUGACAACGUCAGCGGACCCUGACCAGACCACGAUAGUGGUGCGGACCUCGUCCCAAUAAAGAUCAAGUGCCCCAUGUAUCUUCCAAAGUGACAAUGAACAGAGUUCACUUCAGCUUUGUACCACAAAGUUCAUGAUAAUAUGGAAAUCCCACCAACCACAAGGAUCUGCAGAACCUGUAAAUGGGGAUAUAUGAACAAGCUUCUACCAGCCAGGUCACCCUCCCUUAGUCUAGAGUUCAGUUGACCAAGAAGCAUAGCUCUCUGGUUGGUGACCAGUUCUUGCAUUGCUUACUGCUCUGUAGUCUGUGUCUCAUUCCUAAUUUACUGCCAAAGGAAUAGGUGAUUGGACUAAAGUAGGUUUCUCUCUGUCUUAACCAGAGGAGAAGAUGAAAGCAACUCCAGUUAUAAUGAUGCCUGCUAGGAACAAUAACUGACAAGUGAGGAAUUUCCUUACAGUCUGCAACUGUUCCCCACUGUGAGGCUAAAAUAAAAGUACUUUUAAGCUACAGUAUAUAUAAUAAAAUUUAGUUGAAUCUCCUUAUCCUAUACUAUUAGUUUAGUGAUAAAUUUUAUAGACAGAUCUUCCAGGAACUUUUCCUACAAGAAUGCGCUAAAAGACAAAGCAAAACAGAAACACAACAACAACAAAAACACAAAAACAAAAACCACCCAGGGAUCCUUCAGUUUCUGUUUCUAAAUCACACAAGGCAGAAAUCAACUGUCACCUAUCAUCAAGGCCAAAUGUUAUCCUAUAUCCACUGUGUUCUUUCUGUGAAUAACCAGAAAUAUCUUUGUUUACUAACAUACUUAGGCCUUUGGUUUAGGACCAGGGUCCAAAACAAAACUGACAAAACAAAAAUGACCAUCUCCUGAAAACCUAGAAACUAAGGUUUUAACUGUUCUUGAAGUUUGGGUUUUCAAUAGUCUGCAAAUGACCAUUGUUCUGGGAAACUACCCUAUUAAACAACCAAAUUCAGCAUUUUGAAAAUAAAUUUUUCAAACUUAAUCCUCAUAGCUGGUGUAUCCCAUUUAUACUGGGCAACCAACAUAAUUUGUGAGUCCUGAUCAUUUGUGUAAAUAGAGUAAAUUAAAUGGUAGUCAAAUAAUGCCACCUAAAAGAAAUCCUUGUAACUUGAAAUAACUUGCCUAAACUAAAAGACCAGGAACUAAAGCAGGAAACAAUUUUGCAAAAUAGAGAUAAUGGAUGUAUAUGCAGUACAUGCAAAACAUUCUAAAACAGACUUACUAAAGUUGGUUUAAAAUGUAAUUAUCCUUAAAAUGCAAAACAUACAUAAAGUCUAAUCAUUUCAUUGAUGGAAUUUUCCCUGUUCACCUGAGUUAUGCCCUAUAAGGGUGAAAAUAUAGAAAGGUUAUAAGUGAGUAAAAAAAAGACAAUAAUAAAUAUGAUAUAACAUAUAUGAAAAUGAAAUAAAUAUUUAUAUUUCCAUUUCUGAAAUUUAGACAGGUAUUGAACUCAUUCAUAAGUCUUAUAAGGCAACUGAAUUGAAUUUUAUAUGGAAUCAUAAAACUUUAGGACAGAGACAUUUAAUGAUUCUCUUCUCUACAAACUCCUUUUGCAGUAAGACCUUCAGAAGUUAAUCUUACUUUUUCAUCAUUUUUUCAUCCUUCAUAAUAAAUAAUAUUUGUUAUAUGUUAUACUGUAUUAAUACCAUUCCUAUCCACUGCCAAAGAAAUAGGUGGUUGGACUGAAGUCAGUUUCUCUCUGCCUUAAUUAUGGGAGAAUAUGCUUUAAUCAAAACCAGUUAUAAUGAUGCCUGCUAAGAAAAGUAACUGGUAAGUUACAUGUUAACUAUAUGUUAUAUACUUAAUGUAUAUGUUAUAUUAUAUUAGUAUAUUAUCAAUAUAGUAAAGUAACAAUGAUGAAAUAUAGUUAUUAUUUCAUACUAUAGAAAGACUAAUUUUGACAUUUCAGAAGUCUAAAAUUAUUAUUAUA